GUGGGGAAUCUUAGACAAUGGGCGCAAGCCUGAUCUAGCCAUGCCGCGUGAGCGAUGAAGGCCUUAGGGUUGUAAAGCUCUUUCAGGGGGGAAGAUAAUGACGGUACCCCCAGAAGAAGCCCCGGCUAACUCCGUGCCAGCAGCCGCGGUAAUACGGAGGGGGCUAGCGUUGUUCGGAAUUACUGGGCGUAAAGCGCACGUAGGCGGACCAGAAAGUCAGGGGUGAAAUCCCGGGGCUCAACCCCGGAACUGCCUUUGAAACUCCUGGUCUUGAGGUCGAGAGAGGUGAGUGGAAUUCCGAGUGUAGAGGUGAAAUUCGUAGAUAUUCGGAGGAACACCAGUGGCGAAGGCGGCUCACUGGCUCGAUACUGACGCUGAGGUGCGAAAGCGUGGGGAGCAAACAGGAUUAGAUACCCGUGUAGUCC
rnacentral:rRNA from 1 species